GACGAACGCUUGCGGCGUGCCUAAGAAAUGCAAGUCGAGCGGGGAGUUAGAUUUCGGUUUAGCUUCUAGCGGCGAACGGUCGCGUAACACGUAAGCAACCUGCCCCGAAGACCGGGACAA
rnacentral:rRNA from 1 species